UUGCUAAAACAGCAUAUAUACUAAAAUUGGAACGAUACAGAGAAGAUUAGCGUGGCCCCCACGUAAGGAUGACACGCCAAUUUGUGAAGCAUUUCAUAUUUAA